AUUGAACGCUGGCGGCAGGCUUAACACAUGCAAGUCGAGCGGAUGACGGGAGCUUGCUCCUUGAUUCAGCGGCGGACGGGUGAGUAAUGCCUAGGAAUCUGCCUGGUAGUGGGGGACAACGUUCCGAAAGGGGCGCUAAUACCGCAUACGUCCUACGGGAGAAAGUGGGGGAUCUUCGGACCUCACGCUAUCAGAUGAGCCUAGGUCGGAUUAGCUAGUUGGUGAGGUAAAGGCUCACCAAGGCGACGAUCCGUAACUGGUCUGAGAGGAUGAUCAGUCACACUGGAACUGAGACACGGUCCAGACUCCUACGGGAGGCAGCAGUGGGGAAUAUUGGACAAUGGGCGAAAGCCUGAUCCAGCCAUGCCGCGUGUGAAGAGGGUCUUCGGAUUGUAAAGCACUUUAAGUUGGGAGGAAGGGCAGUAAGUUAAUACCUUGCUGUUUUGACGUUACCGACAGAAUAAGCACCGGCUAACUCUGUGCCAGCAGCCGCCGUAAUAC
rnacentral:rRNA from 1 species